UUUUUCUUAAUUAUAGAAAAUUAUUUUUUUGUAUUUUUUAUAGGUAGAGGUUCAAGGAAGUGAUCCCUAUACCAGUAAUCCAAGCAGGAGCCAUUACAGACUGCAGGAGCGCCAAGGACGUACCAAGUAAUGGAUAUUGCUCUUCAGCUGAAGUCUGCAGUGAUUCACAUCCAGACCUGCUUUUCAAAAAUUAAAAAAAA